rnacentral:rRNA from 1 species
UACGUAGGGUGCAAGCGUUGUCCGGAAUUAUUGGGCGUAAAGAGCUCGUAGGCGGUUUGUCGCGUCUGCUGUGAAAAUCCAGGGCUUAACCCUGGACCUGCAGUGGGUACGGGCAGACUGGAGUGCGGUAGGGGGAGAUCGGAAUUCCUGGUGUAGCGGUGAAAUGCGCAGAUAUCAGGAGGAACACCGAUGGCGAAGGCAGCUCGCUGGGACGGUACUGACGCUGAGGCGCGAAAGCGUGGGGAGCAAACAGG